rnacentral:rRNA from 1 species
GACGAACGCUGGCGGCGUGCUUAACACAUGCAAGUCGAACGGAAAGGCCCUGCUUGCAGGGUACUCGAGUGGCGAACGGGUGAGUAACACGUGGGUGAUCUGCCCUGCACUUCGGGAUAAGCCUGGGAAACUGGGUCUAAUACCGGAUAGGAGCCAUUUUUAGUGUGAUGGUUGGAAAGUUUUUUCGGUGUAGGAUGAGCUCGCGGCCUAUCAGCUUGUUGGUGGGGUAAUGGCCUACCAAGGCGGCGACGGGUAGCCGGCCUGAGAGGGUGGACGGCCACAUUGGGACUGAGAUACGGCACAGACUCCUACGGGAGGCAGCAGUGGGGAAUAUUGCACAAUGGGCGCAAGCCUGAUGCAGCGACGCCGCGUGGGGGAUGACGGCCUUCGGGUUGUAAACUCCUUUCGCUAGGGAAGAAGCUUUUUGUGACGGUACCUAGAUAAGAAGCACCGGCUAACUACGUG